UACGAAGGGUGCAAGCGUUACUCGGAAUUACUGGGCGUAAAGGGUGCGUAGGCGGUUGUUUAAGUCUGUCGUGAAAUCCCCGGGCUCAACCUGGGAAUGGCGAUGGAUACUGGGCAGCUAGAGUGUGUCAGAGGAUGGUGGAAUUCCCGGUGUAGCGGUGAAAUGCGUAGAGAUCGGGAGGAACAUCAGUGGCGAAGGCGGCUUCCUGGGGCCAUCCUGACACUGAGAAGCGAAAGCUAGGGGAGCGAACGGG
rnacentral:rRNA from 1 species